UUUAAAAGUGAAUCAAUCUAGACCGUUCAUGAAUUAGUUACUAUUCAAUCCAUUCUCCUAUAAAUAGAAGCUCAUUCCUUCAUUAUUUCUUACGAAUUCACUGAAACUCUUGAGAGAGAAACUGUAGAGAGAAUUCUUCUUCUAUAAUCUUGAGCGUAUUUCUUUAAAGUUUAAGAAAGCUUUGAGCGUAGUAUAAGUUUUCUUCAAGUAUAUCCCCGUCCUAUCCGUCGGAG
rnacentral:lncRNA from 1 species